GCUACCCAGCAAUGGGAUGCGAAUCUCGAAAGCCUGUCUCAGUUCGGAUUGGAGGCUGAAACCCGCCUCCAUGAAGUUGGAUUCGCUAGUAAUCGUGCAUCAGCCAUGGCGCGGUGAAUACGUUCCCGGGCCUUGUACACACCGCCCGUCAAGCCAUGGGAGCCGGGGGUGCCUGAAGUUCGUGACCGCAAGGAGCGACCUAGGGCAAAACUGGUGACUGGGGCUAAGUCGUAACAAGGUACC
rnacentral:rRNA from 1 species